rnacentral:rRNA from 1 species
ACGGAGGGUGCAAGCGUUAUUCGGAAUUACUGGGCGUAAAGCGCGUGUAGGCGGUUAUGCAAGUCUGAUGUGAAAGCUCCGGGCUUAACCCGGGGAGGGAAUUGGAAACUGCAGGUCUUGAGUACUGGAGAGGAUGGGGGAAUUCCCGGUGUAGAGGUGAAAUUCGUAGAUAUCGGGAGGAAUAUCAGUGGCGAAGGCGCCCAUCUGGACUGUAACUGACGCUGAGACGCGAAAGCGUGGGGAGCAAACAG